UGUUUCUUAAAUAGGGACUAGUAUCAACGGCAUUACGAGGGCUGCACUGUCUCCUUUCUCCAAUCAGUGAAACUGAUCUCCCCGUGAAGAAGCGGGGAUUUUAAUAUAAGACGAGAAGACCCCAUGGAGCUUUAAGCAACGAAUUUACUACGCACCAACAAUUCAACUAAUCUUAAAACCUAGAUUCUAGCUUUUGGUUGGGGGGACCGCGGAGUAUAACCCAACCUCCGCAACUAACGGGCUCUGCCCUUAUCCACGAACUACAACUCUAAGAAUCAUAAAAUUGAUGUCUUUGACCCGAAAACUCGAUCAAUGGACCAAGUUACCCUGGGGAUAACAGCGCAAUCUACUUUAAGAGCCCCUAUCGACAAGUAGGUUUACGACCUCGAUGUUGGAUCAGGGUAUCCUAGUGGUGCAGCCGCUA
rnacentral:rRNA from 1 species